rnacentral:ncRNA from 1 species
AACACACUGCCACCGGGUAGAGUAAUGCAUAAAGCAUUCGUAACAUAUCGUUAGGUCUUAGAAGAUAUGUCACGGAUGCUUUUUUGGGA